rnacentral:rRNA from 1 species
UACGUAAGGUGCAAGCGUUGUCCGGAAUUAUUGGGCGUAAAGAGCUCGUAGGCGGUUUGUCGCGUCUGCUGUGAAAACCUAGGGCUUAACCCUGGGCCUGCAGUGGGUACGGGCAGACUAGAGUGCGGUAGGGGAGACUGGAAUUCCUGGUGUAGCGGUGAAAUGCGCAGAUAUCAGGAGGAACACCGGUGGCGAAGGCGGGUCUCUGGGCCGUAACUGACGCUGAGGAGCGAAAGCAUGGGGAGCGAACAGG